rnacentral:sRNA from 1 species
AGAGCCUGGGGACCGCGGAGUGACCGGAUGGGGCUGGAGGGCGGCGCCGCGCCUUCUGGGGAGACGCGGAGGUAUCAGGACCUGGGCUAUGCUCCUGCUUUUAUACAGACUGCCAUGGCUCCAGAUAUAAAAGACCAAAUAAAAAGAUAAGAAUUGCUGGCAACAUAUGCACUAAACUUCGUUUUGAAAAAUCCCCUUGAUGCCGAUCACUGAGAAGUGAUCCACAGGUUCUCAUGAAUAUGUGACGGGGACUGCCUUACCUUCAGGACUAUACCAUCGAUCUCACUGGGCCCCAUUACCUUGUGGCAAUGACCUGAGGUUUGACAAAAUUGUAAGAACCAGCCUCAGUAACAGUGUUUCUCGAAGUCAUCCUGCCACAUGCCUAGUUUGAUACUGAAGAUUGACAGCACUAAGGGAGAACUUACUGUUAUAACAAACUAGGAGAAAGAAAGAUCAAGCUUUUGGGAACAUCACGUAGAAGAAUACAGAGGACUUGUGCAUCAAACAUCUCAGUUAAUCCUCAGAACAAUUUGAGUGUUCCCAUUUGACUACUUGAGGUGACAUAGCCAAUAAGAGCUGGAGCCAGGACUCAGACAUAGGCCA